GAGUUGUUAUCUUUGGUUAUCUAGCUGUAUGAGUGUUUUGGUCUUCAUAAAGCUAGAUAACCGAAAGUGAAAACUCCUUCAAGAUCAUCGUACAGCGUGAGAAAAUGAAAGACUGCUGCGAGAGAGUAAAAAUCAAAAAGGGUCAGAAAUCUUAUUGAAUGUAACAUUUUUACAGCUAAAGGUGAGACUGGGGAAAGUUAAAUGGCAUACGUAUUCCAAAAUACAAAGCUGAUGGUGCACUUAUUCCAAAAUAUGAAGUUGUCUCAUGGCACAGAAUGGAUAUUCACCCGCUGCAGAGAGAACAUGGUACUGAUGGUAAACAAUGUAUGUGCAACUAUUGCUGUUGAAUAAAUAAAGAGAAAUCAAGAACAGUCAGUAUUAAACCAGACUAAGAGGAUUUUUUUUUUCUGUUAGAAACCGAAUGCUGAGUUUCAUUUUGCAAAGUAAUUCAUUGCAAUGAAAUGGCCUUAAAAAUAAAGGUGGUAGUUGGUGAUGAAGAUGGUGGUGCUGAUGAUACAGAGCUGACUACCGAACUGAGGAAAAAUAAAACCCAAAUACAACCACAAAAAACAACAAUCCAACCCCAAACCUGUCUGUGUGCAUCUGAGACAAAGCAUUGAGGUUCAUUUCAAAUCAUGUGAAAGCAGGCUUUCAGAAAAAGUUUACACCGAAGUGCAGGCAAGCUUAAUAAUUUAUAUCUACUUAGAACUCGGCGGAGUUGAACAAAAACUGAGAAAAAAAUAAUGGCCGAUUUUUAUUCCUCUAUUCAAAACGCGAGCAUAGAUGCUUCUCUGUUUCGAGAGGGUUUCCUUGAGGAAGCUACUGAAGCAGAAAGACAUGAGACGAGAUCGCCCUCCCCCCGUCAAUGUGUGUAAAAAUGUUCUAUGCCUUGCUCUGCACCUAACAUUGGAAAUGAAAGUGACAUUUACUCCAAAACCCACGUGUGCGCCUCCUCUCUUUUUGUUUAAGGAUGAUCAGGUCUAUCCUGGAAACAGCUUUGGCAUCCUAUACCGAAAUAGUUAGGACGUAUACAGACCUGACAAAAACAGGGAGAGGAGGGGAGGGGAGGAGGUGGAGAAGCGGAGGGUCUGUCUUGCCUAAUUGAUUCCGUUAAACGACGUGCAGGAGAUGUGAACGGCUGGGUGCUCCCAUUCCCACGCUCGGGGCAAAUGGCAGCGCCGUGCCCCGGCGGUCGGUGACAGACAGCCCGGCGGGGGCCGGGGCCGGGGCUGGGGGAGCCCACCGCCGACACCCGCGAGAGCAUUUCCCACCCACUGCCAUCCCAGAAAUGCUGGACGAAGGGACGGGACUGCAGAACACGCCCGCUUCCCCUGCGCCGCACCCCGCCGCGCCCUCCGAGGGAGAAGGGUGGGACUUGCGCCCGGGCGGAACUUGCGCCCUUCUCCAGCGGAGGUCGCGAGGGGACGCGGGUUUUGGUCCCGAUGGAGGAAGGGAAGGUCAGGGCAGAUGUGUCGGGAUGCAAACAGUCCUGUGUUUUUAACAAAUAUUAUCUUUAUAAUUAUGGCUGUUUAGGCACCUCUUGCAGUGAAACUGAGGGGGAUUCAUUGCUCAGGGUAACAUAUUUCCUUUGGACUUGACCUAAAAGUUUGUCCGGAGGCACGCUCGAAUGUGAUACUGAGUUAGUAACCAAACGUUCUCCACGGCAGAUUAAAAUAAGAUCAGCGGUAAGGGAAUGUGGGUCAGCGGUCUCCAUCCGUCUGGGGCAAAACCUUUGCUCGCCACUCUUUAUAAUUAUUUGAUUUUAUUUUGUUUUUUCGCUUCGUUGUCGAACUGCUUAUAAAAAACAUUGGUUUGGGGCUUAUACUGGCAAUAUUUACCUUCACGCCACACAUUGCACUGUGAGAAGGAUGGAACAAGGAUCCAGCUAGCGUGUUCUGGAAGCAGCAGGAGCACUGUGUAGCUAAACCAAAGAAUUUUGCCUCAAAAGUUAGACCAUCCUCUCUGUAGCUGUUAAAAUAACUUUAGUUUCCGCCGGAGGGUCCUCCCCGUGGCCGUCGGCAGUGCCGGCCGGGACCCCGGCUAGGCUCUUUUGAGGUUAAACCUUUGUUUUGGCUGCUCUCCGUAUGCUCAAAGUUUUACUGCUGCAGGUCCCGGUGAGGGGAGCUGUGUUUAUUUACAUCAAAACUGUGUUUGAGCCGCCGGGCUUUCACCGCAGAGUGCCCGCCUCUCAUUUAACUGCUUGUCUAGGGGCGCUAUUUACCUAGAGCCCUUGUCUACUACAAUUAACAUUUACAUGACAAAGUGCGUGGUCUUGUUUCUUAACAAGCUUCAAUUAAGGCGAUAAACUGUUUUCUGGGGAAACCCCUUGUUUACUUAGGCAUGAAUGGGGUUAAUUUACUUAAUUUACUUAAGAUGUUGCUUGCGUCUUGGUCUUCGUUGUAAAUUUGUGAAAGAAAAUAUCAGAGAAAAACAGCAGCAUUAUAAUCGCGUUUGCCAUUGUAAUCUUAAAUUGGUUUGUAUCUUAAUAAUGUCACGUGAUUAUUAAUCAAUAAAAUAUUAUAAUAUUAUUGGCUAUUAUUACUAUUACUGCUCUUACUCCUCUUCUUCAGGAGCAGAGACCCAUUUCUCUGCACCUUUUUCCUACACAGUAAACUUCUGACUUGGGGAAAGAGAGCAUGUGGAAAUGUGGUAGCAGGCCCUCAAUUUUAUGCUUUAACAGGCUCACGCAGCAAGUAACUAGGAAAGGUAAUCCUUCCCUAGAAUUAUCGACCUGUUACAUGUUGUUCCCUCAAAGCUUGUGUGGAAAAAUAAGUCACUCUAUCAACCAAAGAAAAAGUUUUAUGUUAUGGGAAAUGAAACCAAACCCAAACCCAAAAAGCUGAACUAUAAGUGGGCAUUUCUCUCCAAGCCAGUUCUAGCACUGGAGGAGACUGGAUCAAGUUUAUUUAGCAUACCAGUGCAUUGUAAAACAGUUGGAAUAUAGUUGCAGGUUGUGUGAGUAUGCAUGUUAACUAGCAGGGAUUGGGGCUUAUUCUUUGUGAAAAGAGAACAGCAUAUUGCUGUGCAAGGCCAAUAUUAAAAAGGCAGCUGAAUUUAACACCAUCUGGAAGAAAAGAUCCCUUGACGACUUUCUCACACCGUCAGACAAAACUGGUGUCUCUUGUUCUGUGUCCUUGUCUAUGCAACCACACAAUACUGAGUCAUUAUACUUUUGCUGAGAGAAAAUUUGAGAACACAUUAUGGGUAACUGGUGAAUGACCAAGUUUCAUUAUACCCGCUUAAGUCGAUUGAAAUCUACGUCUAGAGCUAUGAAUGGCAACAUUGUUUUCCUCAACGGGGCUGUACUAAAUGUCAGCACGGUGUAAAGAAAAACUUGAAGUCUGCAAAUAACUUACCAGACCUCAAUUAUAAUAUUUUCCCACACUACAACUAAUAUCAUUGGUAGUGCCUACAACGCAUGAAAUACAACAAAUGAAGGCAGAAGAAAAAAAAAUUAGUUCAUUUACACGCUAUUUCAGCCAGACAAACACUUUAAUUUUCUUAAAAUGACUUCAGCACAUAGAGCUGGAUAACAAUUUCCUGAAAAUUUCAAGCAACCAAACUGCUUCUUACGAAAUUUAAAAAAUAAAUUGCGCAAACUAACGUAUUUAUUUUAACCCUCCAGUUUAGGACUGAUAAAAUAUUAGUAGAGGUACUUUACAGUACACAGAUCACUUUGUAUGAGUCUAGCAGAUGAUUUCUUCUUUAAUGUAAAGCAGAAAUGGCACAAGCAAAGCAAUGAGAAAUGUAUUUCUUCGGGUGCUGGAGGAAAUCCACCAGGGCAUCUCAGUGUUUACACAGGUACCAGAAGGACAGUUUUCAGUUCUCUCAAUUUUUAACUACUACUUUUUUACCCUCACUUUAUAAUGGUUUCUAAGUGCUGUUCAAGUUAGUCCUCUGCUUAAGAUCCAUGCACAGUAAAGACUAUGAACCGUCUCAAAGGCAUGGUGAAGAGUUAGUUAUGUGUGCCUUGUUAGAAUGUGUUUUAAACCUAGGUGACCAUGAUUCUGUCUGCAUUUCAUAAAGCACAGCACAGUUCCUGGCAUAAAAACUUGAAAUGAUGAGCAACUACCCUUGUGCUGAGUAACACAUCUCUUCAGCAGCUCCACUUGCUGAAUUUCUGAGCAGUUCCAUUGCUGCAGCCCUGGACAUCGGGAAUGCUGGUGCAUGGGGCAGGCAGAGGACUGGUGGGAUAACUGGGCAGGUGUUGGUGCUAGAUAAAUUAUUUUUUGACUUGCUCAUGCAACCACUCAUGAAUGAGGAGCAGCUGGGGCCAUCUGGAUCGGGAGCAGAAGCAGGGCAACGCAGGCAGGUGAUGGGGAGGUUUGAAGAGAAGCCAGUCCUUCACUAGUGCCCUGCCUGCUGAACAAAAGCUGGCACCUGUUGAAGGAGGGAGUUCCUUUCACCACCCAAAGUGUUGUUUGUAUGAAUGGAUAUAUUCAUGACCACACCUCUACUUUCCUGAACUUUCCACUAGUAUGCAAUAGCAUAGGGCAGAUUCAUUAUUUUUGUUUCAAAUAAAAUUGUUGUUGUGAAAUAUUUUGUUUUGUAGAGAAACCAAGGACACACUGCCUGUUAGCCAGAUCCCUCCCUUCCCAUCUGAAUUAAAAACAGUUUUCUGACUUCUUUUGGCUAGAAGGAGAGGUAUAUGUGCAUAGCUGUCCCACAGGGACACUAUUUAAAAAGGUCAUUAAAAUUUUUAAAGCAUACCCCACUUCAAGAGAUUCCUCACCCUGGAGUAAGCAUAUUUAUUACCCCUUACAUCCUCCAUUAUUUUAAUUUAGAAGAAAGAAAAUGUCAGACUUUGACGAUUAGAUUUUCUAUUAAACAGCAAGUGCAUGUGGUAAAUAUUAAGGCAUUUCUUAUCGCUUUUUCUGGGAGUGGGAAAGGAGGAGAAAGAAGCCCUUUGACUGUGCUGUUGCUUGUCAAUAGUGCCUCUUUUUUUCUUCCUGAAGCUCUCAUUGGUGUAUAAACAUAUAAUUAUAGACAUACAUUUGUGUAUGUAUACAUAUACAUCCAUAGUUUAUGGUGUAGAGCUGGUGUGACCCUGCCAGGGUCAGAGUCUGACAUGGAUGAACUUGUGUCAUCCACUUUGUGGAGAUCAGGAUUGAGUCUGACACCAAGCUGUGCAGACUUAUUUUAGGUACGUAUGCAGUAAUGCAGUGGAAAGGGAAUGUUCAGUCUGUGUCUUUAAAUCUAAUGCUCAAAAAACUAUUUUCCCCAUAAUUCCGUGCAGCUAAUGCUAAUCCAUGCUUGCGGAGGUGGGGAAGGGACAGGAGGGGACGGAAAUUCCCCUCGCAAAUGAAGAGGUUGCACUCGGUCCGCGGAUUCCCUGCCAGGCCGCCCUUCCCUCCACGGCUCCCCAACUCGAUCCUGAGGGUUCGAAGACCAAGCCACUGACUCAGAUCUGCGGCGGCGUCGCCGAUGAGCAUCCCGAGCGUCCGCAGUCUCAGUCCAGCCGUGGGGACGCCGCGGUCCAGUCGCCGGGCUCCGUUCCCGCUCGACGACCGCUCUGAUUGGAGUUUUCCAGGAGACCGGUGGCGGCGCGCAUGGGAUGGGGCGGGAAGCGGCGGACUGCGCCGAUGCGUGCUCCAUGCCUCUCUCUUCCUGCUCGUACCGAACCGGUACCCCCUCGCCCGGCCUCAUUGCUCCUGCCCUCUCUCCGACCGCAGGGCUGCAUUACCGCCAUUAAUUGCUGCAAGUGACCACCUCUAAUUAGCUCUGCCCGCCGAGGAGCCGCCGCUGAAAGCAGCCGGAGCUCCCUUCCCCCGCGUUGCCGAGUAACUGAGGUAUUAUCGCGACUGACCCGCCGCGCCGGUGUGCUCCUCCGACAAGAGAGAUUCGAAAAAAAAUUAAAACCAAGUCCAGGUCUUAAGUAGUUACUAAAGCCAGUUAAUGACAUCGUGCAUGGAUAUUUUAACUUGUUUUAAGUCACGGAAAAGAUUAAGGAGAAAUCAUGCUAUGCAGGUGUAAUGAUACCAUCUUGGCUCCACAGCACUACCAGGUGCGGCUCAACCCACCUGCUCUGCAUACGCCACUAAAAGGCUCCUUGGAGGCCCCUGCUGUCACCUCAUACCCAAGGUGCUUUGCUGUUCAUUUAAAAAUCCAUAACUGCCUCUGAAAUUUCUGUGCCUGGCCUACACCAUAAAAACACAUUUUAAAGGUGGUUUGUGCUAGAAUGGUAAACACUUAUAUUUAAUGUAUGGGAUGCACUGAGUUAAGGGCAAAACCGAUCUUUUUCCUUCAGGUGUAGAUGCUUGGUUGCCAUAUUUCUCAGUUCCUUCAGCUCUUACUAAAAUCUGAAGCACAGAAUCAUAGAAUGUCCUAAGUUGGAAGGGACCCACAAGGAUAAUUUAAGUCCAGCUUUUGGAACUGGCCAGGACAGGCCCAAGAUUAAUAGUGAUUGGGUAUUCACUCCUCCUCAAUGCUGAUUAUUCAAAUAUCUGUGCCAAAGUGUGAUAAGAACCCAGAUAUUUUUGCUUAAUUACUGUUAUGGUUUUGAUGGUACUGUGAGGUGGGUGAGCAGGGCUGCAGAAGGGAGCAAGAUCAGCACACCAACAUAAUAAAUAAAGGAAACUGCCAGUGCACAGGGAAUUGUGAUAAGGAAUCUCCUUCUGCUUAGCAUUUUGAUCUCUAGUUUGUACCUCAGCAUGGGAAAAGUAGUAGCCAGGUCAAAAUGGACUUUGUAAGUAAAUGAGUAUGUGAGACAGUCAGCAGUUUGUCUUCUUUAGAGUCUUAAAAUAGUUUGUUGGGAAAAAUUAAUAUUCUGUGCUUUGGGUCAAAACUUGGUAAAACUGUCUGUGAUUCAAAUAGGAGCAGCAUUUCACCUUUUGCAAAAGAACCUGUAUAGUCUGAAUGGGAUCAUUUUUCCUUCAGAAUAAACUCUGUGUCAAAUAAAAGGGGCAUAUAAUAGUUAUUUUAAAAUUAUUUUUUUAAAAAUAUGUCUCUAUUAAUAAUAGCAGUUGACUGAAAGGGACAUUACCAUAAAAAAUACUCCAGUAUCAUUGUCAUGUAGAAUACUAUCUUUAAGAAACAAGAUUUUAGGGUGUAAUAAAAUAAUUAUCAUCAGAAUAACAGUGCUGGUUUAAUGUAAUUGGAAUCUAACCUACAAUAACCUUGUAUGAGAGAGAGCUGGAGUCAGUAACAGAAAACCUGCACAGAAAGGAUGGUAUUGCACAUACACAGUUUCCUGUCAUCUAAUUCAGCAGCAGUUGUGGUAGAGCAGAAAAGGUAAAAUUAGCUUUCUUUUUUAAAUUAGCUCUCUCUCUCCCUCUCUCUCUCUCUCUCUCUCUAGAUAUAUAUAUAUAUGAAUUACUCUCUUUUGCUAUUUUCUAUCACAGAAAGCAAUUGCUGCUGUAUCAUGUCAGAAUUCACUCUAGGUGUGUCGGAAGGUACAGGACUUUGGAAAGUUGUUUCAAAAUAGACCACUUCUCUAUGGCAGUAAUUAGUGUAAGCAUACAUUGUAGAGAUUCUUCUUCAGCUGAGUACUUGGGAUUUUAUGUGUUACCAAUAUCUUACCAGUGGACAUAAAUAUAUUGCAGGAAACUUAUGAAUAUUAAAUUUAUGUCUUCCUCUAAAUUCCCAUAAUUCUCAUAUGGCUCUGCUCAUAUAACAGCUAAGCAGAUCCUUUUUUAUAUACAUGGACAUUGGCAUAUACAAACUCAUAACUUUGAAUCUGGAAACCUACAAUCUGUAUCAGCAUUUGCACCAUCAUGAAGUGAGUUUACUAUGUUCCAUUGUAUCCAUAUGCUCUACCUCAUUUGUCUCCAAAAGGUAUUUUCCAGCUUAGUUAGUUCAGUGAUUCUCUGAUUCUGUGACUUCAUGUGCUGAGGCAAUAUUCACAGUAAACACAAUUCCAUAAUACAGAUCCAUAACACAGUUACCAGAAGUAAGUCACUUCUGUCCCUAGACUGUGAGUAUUGACAGUAUCAAAAACUUUCAUUUUUCCCUGCAUUGGUCUUUAGUCCCGAUAAUUAGUGAGAUAGACUAAACUACAAAAAAUCAAGCAACCAUUUAAUGAUACUAUCAUUAAAUUGACAUUUCCCACAAUAGUUGGAGAGAGACUCUAGGAUGAUAUUAUAAAUUAUAUUUUAGUUUAAUUUCUUCCAGUUUUGUAGGAAGAAUACUUUAUUUCCUAUAGAAUAAUUUCAUUCCUAGUCUGUGUGCAAAUAUUGUCUUUUGCUUAAAAUAAAACUGAGAAGAGAAAGUUAUUAUUUGCUUUCAUAUUUUAAAAAUUAUUCAUCAUAUACAGCUAUGUAAUAUAACAUUUUGCACAGCACUAUAUUAUUAAGUUAAUCUAAUGCCCAGAGUCAUUAUGCACAUUCCUGGAUGUCCUUCUGAUGUCUCUCCAGUCUGCUGGAUUUGGAAGUGUGAUUAUGUAAAUUUUUUACUGAUAAAUAGAUUAUUAUAAUUGUAGUUGAAAUACCCCUGGAAUUCAUAAAACCAUUGCAUCUAAAUAAUAUAUUAUGAAUUACUUAAUUUUUUAUCAAGACUAAUUCAAAAUAAGUGCAGGGAAAAGCAUACAUUUAUUUUUAAAUAGCACCUUUUUUUGUGCCAGGUCAAAAGAUGUUCCAGAUAUCAAAAAUAAAAAAGAGUGAGAGAACGACGUUUCCUUCAUUAGUUGUAAGGAGUCUGUUUUGGGUUAAUAAUAUUACAACAAUGGUGCCAUUCUUACUGUACACUUGUUAUCAAUUAUAAUAUAUUUUGGCGAAUAUACAGAAUUUCUAUUAGAAUGAGGACAAGAAGGGAAGAGUUAAUAUGGGUGAAAGGUGAGUGUAUGUAACAGUAAGAGAAGAACAGCAGUUUUAAAUUACACUGAGGAACAGAGAGGAGAUGGCAAGAUUUCAGUGGCUACAGAUUUAACAGGAGUGUCAGAGAUACAUCAGUAAUUGCAAAAUUAAAACAAUGGGUUAUGCGUGUUUUCAAGUCAGUAUUCAGUGCUAAAUGUGGAAAGCCUCAAUAAGCAGCCUGCUGGUUAUUAGAAGCACUAGGCUGUCCAUUUAGCUAUAUCUGCAAAAGAACUUUAUUUUCAGUCUCAUGCAAAUUUUGAUUCCAGACUGGGUUCUAAUAACCCUGUAGAAAUCAUCACAGGCAUAGUCAGAUCUCAGGGUAUACACAAUAGCUUUUAUUAUCCCUUUUCAGAAAAGACCUUUAUCUGGCCGCUGAUGAAAUACAGGAAAUUGAUCGCAGAAAACCUGCAGAGGCAUACUUACUGUACCAGAUAUAGUAAGCUCCACUUGGUGCAUUGGCAUUUAGCCAUUUUAUGUAAAUUUAGUGAGAAAAUGACUCCUAUACAUGAUUUAAUAUGCAUCAGUAAUAACUCAUAAUGUCCUCAUGUGAGGAAAGAAAUUAAAAAUUCAUUAGAAAACUAGACUAGUGACACUACAUGGUUAAAACAUUGCUAAAGCAUAUUUCAGUGUUUUGCUUACACUAGUGUUCUUAUCAUGGUGCCUCCAUUUCAUGGCAAAGAAGACAGAGGAGAAAACAUUCAACUUAAAAUGUCUGCUGGCACACAUCACUGGAUUUUUAUGUCACUAAACAAUGAAGGAGCAUAGCCUUGAAUACCAACUAUUUAAUUAGCACUUUUGCCAGCCAUGCAUAGAAAACAGCUCAUUUACAUGUGUCAUGCUUACUGAUUAUUCCCAUAAAAAUCUACUGGUUUUUUCAAGUGUAUGUCACAUUCUAGUGUGACAACAAAAGAAAAUCAAAACAUCUAUUAUUUUUAAAAACCUUGAAAUUCAGAAAUCUGAUUAAAAUUUAUAAAGUCUUUCUUUCUCUUGUAGGUAUAUUUUAGUUAUUUAAUUUAUCCUUAAGUGUGGCAUAAAAGACUGGACACAACUAAUCAUUAAGAACUUCAAAGGGUAACAGAAAACCUUUAACAGUCUGCAGUUUAAUUAAAGGCUAUUAUUACAAGACUCUUGAACAUACAGCUACAUGUAAUGACAAGUGGUCACUUCUAAAUGCUGCAUUUGAAUGGUACCACUCCUGCUCUAAAUGCUGCUGAUAGACAAUGCUGAAACAUGUAAAUUCUCCCAGGGAAAGACUCCAUUUUGAGCAUAAAUGCGGUACAUUUUUGAAAUAUUUCUCUGAAAGUAUACCAUUUUGAAGCAUUUUGCUUAGAAAUAUUCACUUGUUUUGCUCUUGUCUCUCAACAUCUGCAAAAUGGAUAGAGUAUCAUUGAAGAGAUAUACUAGUUCAUAGAAAUGAAAGUCAGCCAUUUCAUCACAUUUUUCCUAGAAACAUAUAAUAUACAGAAACAUUCCCUGGCUAUACACACAAGAAACAUAAGAUAAUAUAUAUAACAUAAAGGUUUAAUUUCUCAGUGAAAUUGAAAAUGUCAAUCCACUUGCAAUUAUCAAAAAAUAAGCUUGUAUAUAUUUUUAUAAGUGUUUAAUGAGCAAUGUAUAUUCAAGUAUCUGUAAGAAUGUAGUCUAUCAAAUGAAGGCCUAUCAAAUAAAAAAUAUGCUGUACUGACUCCCAGCCAUUGAGCCCAAUCCUGUAAGGUCCCUGCUUUUCAGGCAAUCUUUAUUGUCUUAUGGUGUCUUUUAAAUUCAGCAUCUCCUAUAAUUCGGAGCUGCUAAAACAGAGUCUUAGGUUCAUGCUAGCAUACAUGAAAUUGGUAUUUCUCAUGAAUGGAUACAAUCUUCUGUAUUUUCAGUUUUAAACUGUUCGGUUUUUAAUGUUUUAUCCCUGUAGCUUAGCUCCCUCAGAUGAAUCCCAGUUCUGUGUCUAACUUGCCACCAGUUACAUAGUGUCAAAGACCACAGAACAUUUGAAUUCUCAAUUACAAAAUGAUGAGUCAACCCAAAAACAAGCUAAAGAACAUGCAAUUUUAAUGUUCUAAUAAUUAAAAAUAAUAAUAUUCCCCCUCUCAAAAAAAACCCAAAUAAUUACAGACACUUUAGUAAUUUUAAGAAAGUUUGUUAUUUAGGUCUAUGAAUACUGAAUUUAAAUCUCAACAUUUUUAUUAAUUAAUAAUUUGCAGAGGGCAAAGGAAACAACUCAGGUUACUGUAUUUUGAGAUGCUAUGAAAACUUGUAGGAAAAGUAAAAGAAUUAUCAUAAUCAAGACAGGUUAUCAGUAUUUUCUGGAAACCUAGAUGUAAGAUUUAACAAGUAAAAAAAAGGCAAUUAAUAUGUGAGUGGGGAAAAAAAAUCUGAAACACAAAUAAAUAUUCACCAGAUACAGACACUGAGUAAUUGAAAGAGACCAAAGGAUGGAAAGAACAAGUUACAAGGAUAAAAUGUGAUUUAAAAAAAUACAAACACAAAAGAAGAAAUAGCAGCAAUCCCUCAUAUGCAGUGUAUUUUAAAACAUCCUGUUGGGACCCCAUAAUUUUGGCAUAAGAAUAUUAGACUACCUAGAAUACAACUUGCCAUUAAAAAAAGAUGUAUAAUAAGUCAAACGGAGAAGAUGCAGAGAAAAAAAUGGAAAAAGCUAUAAAAAUAACAGAAUGGAGGCAUUGCUUCAAAAGAAAAGAUUAUGAGAAGUGACUAAGCUAACUGAUGAUCAAGGGAAAUAUGUGUGGGUGUUCGGAUAAGGAAUAAUUUCAGCAGCCAAAAGCUUGCAUUGUGUUGGUCAUUUUUUGUAUACACCCAGAGUUUUCUUUAAGGUUAACCAAAAGUUGGCCAAUAAAACACAAAACACCAUGUAACAUUAGGGCCAUGCUGAUGUGAUCAACUGUGUACCUAGGAAAGGUAAUUAAGAAUGUAAGCACAGGAGAUCAUUGUCUGAGUAUCUAAAAAACUCCUAGUGAGGAGGUGGAUGGUGGGUUAGAUUGAAAGAAAAUAAUGUUGACUCCAUAGACUGAUCCAUUUAAAUCCAGAGUAAAGAAUACUCCAGAGAACUUAUUGCAGGUUACAGUCCUGAGUUCUUGAGAGGAUUGACUAGAUCAGCUCUUAGAUCUUAUUUUCAUCUCUAAAUUUUUAUAUUAGAUAGUUUUGAUUUAGAUUUGAUUCCAGGUGAUGUUUUCACCUGAGGCUGAACAUUUCAAAUUGAAAUCGAAAACAUUUCAAAUAAAAUGUUUUCUAAAGAUAAAUGUGGAUAGCUUGUCUGCAUGCUCAUUUUGAGAAACGCAUAUAAUAGACACCUACUGUGAUAGUGUUUGCUGGCCAGACACCAUCACUGGAGUAAUAGGAAUACAAAUAUUAUCUUGAAAUAUAAAUUUUAAAAAUCAGAAAUUAAAAGGUGUUGAAGAUCCCAAAGGUCUAAUUAUAUUGGAUAUUGUCACAUUAUUCCCAUUUAUUCGACACUCCAUAGAUAUCUACUGCCUUUGUCUUUUUUUUCACAGUUUCUGGUAACACAGUGUAUGAAUUAGUCCUUUCUGUGAGUGCAUGAAAUACAAAUACAGCAUAUCGUGUAUUAUUAUAUUGUGGUCUAUAGUAACAUGUUUACAAAUACAAUGGUCAAAAAAGGUAUCUUUAAAUUUUUGUGGUCUGGCAGUUUGCACUGUCUUUUAAAGAUGCUUGCAUCUUUCUACUGAAGUCAAUGAAUGAUGUUGGUAGUAUUGCAAAAUCAAGGCCUCUUUAUGAAUGUCUGUAGAACGUUAAAAUUACUGAGUGUCAAAUAUUUAUAGUAUUUGAGUAGACACUGACAGAAUACCAGGCCAGGUUACUUUCAGAGAGAUCUGUCCUGGUUUCAUCCUUAACUUUCAGUUUUAGCACAGCAGGAAUGUUCAUCUGCCUUGUUCAAUAAGAAGAAUAUAAUCCAGCCCACCAAAUUCAAGCACUUUGACAGUAUGCUGUGAGAGCUGAUUUGGUGUCUCUGAGUUGUUCUCUAUGUCUUACUGGCACCAUCACUGCUGUGCAUCAUUUACAGUUAUACAUAUAUACAUAUAUCUAUCUGUCUAUAUUUAUAUACACAUGUACAUAGACUUUAUGCAAUAUAGAUUAUAUUUUAUGUACAAUAUAGAAUCAACUACCUAGAGAGAAUUUAUUCCAGUGUAGAACUUUUUUGGUCAUUGUUUGCCAAAUUAGAGAGAAAAAAAAAAGACCUUUCAAAAAUUGUAGAAGGCAUAGGGCCUGCAAGGCCUCCCUGGCAGUCAGCACCCUAAGAUAGGAAAUGCCUAGUCAUGAUGACUGAACCUUAGAAGCUCUUUUUUUCUUUGGAAAGGGCUUAUCCCUCUGUAAGCCUAUAGGUCACUUUCCUUUCGACCCCUACUAUUGGACAAUUUCUAAAACUCCUAUAUCCUAUAAAAACCCCUACUUUUGCCCAGUUGGGCAGAAAAGCUGUCCCUGAGAACCUCUGGGCAGAAGAUUCAAUAAAGACACCCCUGUGGAACCUCACACAGCACUUCUCCUCUCUCUCCCUGCAUCUGCCUAAGGCACUUAGCGAGCUAAAGAGCUGAAAUCACAAAAUGAGCUGAUAGUCAUGAAAGAGCUGGUAUCACCUAAGCUUGCUAAGGUAGCCUGUGCCUGGGAGCUGCUUGGGAACUUGGACAGGCUAUGCUGAACAGGACUGCGCUAUGAGGGACCCUGUGGUAGCCCACUGAGGAUACCCUGAAACCCGGCUGAGGCCACAUUAAAAAUAACAGAAAUUAUAUGUUUUUUAAAAAGGAAAUAGGAGUGGGAAAAAAGAGCUAUCAAUGCUUAAUCACAGUAUCACAGUAUCAGAGAAUAUUCUGAAUUGUAAGGGAAUCCAUUUUAACUUUUUUUUUCCCUUAUAAUUUCCAACAGUACCUAGGCAUGACAAAGUCAGUGGGUUGUCUUACACUUUUUCUCAUACAGUCUUUUUUGCUCAAAUAUUGCCUUGACAUUUCAUGAUGCCAACUAUAUCUUGGUGUGUAUUAUAUGUCACAAAGGGUUGGUGAAAGUGUGGGCACAGCCUUCACACGAUCUGUCUCUUGCAGUUUCUCCACAUUCCAUUUCUUGUUUUCCCCCUCAGAUAUUCUGUGCUUGCUAUCUUUUCCUCCAUACCAGUGCAGAAGAUGAUUUUUCUGUCAGAAUUAAACACAGAGAGCAUAGCUGCUGGUCUUGGGAUGAGAUCUUUGCUGUCCUUUAGGUUCCUCAAGGGCUGCUUGCAAGAUUGCUGAUAUAUUUGGCCUAGUGCCAAAGACAGAGCAUGGCUAUUGACCCAUCUUUCUGAGGAGAAUGGCUGAGAUGUCUUUGAAAUUAUUCCUGGAAUUAGACCAGCAUGAGAUCUCCUCUACCAAACUGAGGUAAUACUGUUGAAAGGCAAGAAAUCUGAAGUGAUGUAUGUCCAACUGUCUGUGCAUUGACAAUGUCAACUGAUGAAAAGGUUCCCCAAUGCCUGGGCCCAAAGGAAACACUUAGAAUGAGUAAACCUGAGGACAUCAGCUGAAUGAGUAAACCUGAGGACAUCAGCCUCUUCUGAGGAGUAUUUGGUUGGUGAAGCCAAAAGCUUUUCUAAGUAAUUUCUAGGUCCAGGUUUUAUUAACAAUGAUAGCCCAGACUUCUGCCAUAAUGAAGUACCUUCUUGGAGGUUAACUAACUAGUAUUUACCUAACAAUAUUCAGCAUAAUGGCAAACACAGGAGUGUUGUUGCUUUUGGUUAGUUUGUAGAGCCUUUAAAACCUCAGAAAUUUCACUAUGAGAAAAUCAGAGAAUUUAAAAAGAUAGUGUGGGCAGUAAAAUUAUGUAGCGUAUUACUACUAAGCCUUUUGCAAGAAAAUUCACAAAUUCUGCUUUCUUUACCUCUUCACCAGAACAGGUUUUGAUUACAGUUCUUUUCCGUCAGGGUGGACCUGACAUAAAAUGAUGUCAAAAAUCAGCCAAAUUAGGAUUACACAAAUAAAUAAGAUAAGUACGAUUUGCCAAGUGAUAUGCAUGAAAAUGAAUUUUCUUGCUAUGGAAUGAUUUUUUUGAAAUGUUUUCUUUAAAUGGUAUUAGCUAGAAAGCAGCAGAAAAUAUGCCCUGGUCUAUACCUGGAGGUAUAUCUGUCUCAUUCUGUUUCAUCAAGGUUACAUAAGUUAUGUAUGGCAUUUUCAUUAUGGAUAGUAGUCUGACCUUAGAAAGAUAUCAAUUAUGAAAUGUCUUUCAUUAAUUGUUUCUCUCUUGUGAGGAUUUAAAAAAUUGUUUGUGCUGAAAAGAGUAAAUGAUAAACACUGUUUGUUAAGAUCUCUGUAGUGUAAAAUAAAAUACUGCCUCUCCUAAUAAUUUCAGCAAGACAAAAUUGGUGCCAUUUAUAUGAUGUUUAAUUAUUAUUUAAUAAUGCUUAAUUAUUUAAUUAUGCUAUAUCUACAUUGUGCUUCUGCCACCUUUGCUGGGAGGAGGAAUAACUUGCCAACAUUACUGGCAUUAUGCAACCUGAAAAACCUACACUGCCCCAAAAUAUCAGGGUGUUCAAGUUACUAUCAGAAAACAAGUUAAAAUGCUAAACCCAUUGCAAACAAUAUGCUUCAUGUUCAGAAAUUCCAUUUACUCCAAAGGUGUGACCUGAUUUCAGUGGGAAGUCUGUAAACAGGCGGUUGAAAAUCUAGGUUCUUAAUAUCAAAAUCCUCACUCCAAAAAUAUGUAGGACAAAGGACAAUACUGAUAUGAAGAAAAAGUGUGAACAAAACUGUUUUUCACAAGUCUGUCAAUGUCAGUAAUUUCUCUCAGUUGUCAAAACUCAUGGUUACAGAAGUUAAUUCAAAGAUAAUAAAUGUCUUAUGUUGUGGUGUGUUUGAUGGUUCGUUCUUAUUUCCCUUUCAUAUUCUGUUAAUGGUCCUGCCCAAGUUUUUCCUUCCCGCGUUUUUCAGUGUCCAGUUCUUGUCUAUCAUUCGGUUGCUAUAGUAAUUAAUUGGUUCUCCCUGCACU